GGGUAACUAAAUUGCUUAGGCCAUCUUGGGCACCUCCACCGAUGGAAACAGCAAAAUAAGAAGUGGCAAAAACAGAUACUGGGAGGAAACAAACAUCAGCUGCCUGCACUGCACUGGCCACAGAAAGGUGACAUCUGCCUUUCCGUGGCUUGUGCCAGAAACUUGAAGGUAGAGGCCACACAGAACAAACUGAAAUAUUUACAAGGCACAGAAUCAGCUGCAGAUGCCAUAGGUCUGCAUUUCACAAGCCUUUGCUACACCUAAGUAGAAGUGAACUGGAUGAAUAGCAUCAGAUGUGGACUGGGAAUCUGCCACCCCAACCAACCUGCUCUUGACUGCUUGUACUGCUGGAGCAUCUUCAGAGCCCAGCCAAGACUGGAACUGUGGACUGGGCAGGUGAUGGAAAGGCAGCAGGGCUGGGAAGAGCCAGCUGCAGAGGAUGCUUUCCUGACAUGGUGGUUUGUUUGA
rnacentral:lncRNA from 1 species